CAGAAUCAUACAGCAGGCAGCUGUGUAUUUGGUGUGUUACUGGCCCUGAGUUGGCAGUGCUUUCACACAGAAAACCCUCAUUACUUCCAGAAUGAGCUGGAUGUGGAUCAACACAGAAAGGAGACUGAAAUGAUGAUCCUAUAAUUGUAUCCUAUUUAAAACUCAUUACUUCAGAUUCUAUUGAGUUUAAAAUUUCAUCUCUUGGACUAGGAGGUUAUUGAUAGCUCUGUCUGUCGAGUGGGAUCUCCUAAAUCUUUUUUAGUGAAUAUUUCAUACAUUAACCCAUUUUAUUUCACAAAAAACUGGCCAUAAGGUCUAAUACCGUUUUCAGUAUCCAAAAUCGAGGACCAGCAUUUUUAUUUUUAGUCAUAUAAUUCUGAAAAUUGUGUUUUUGUGUGCCAGGACUUACAUAUAAGUGUGUUCAUGUAGUGUCAUAUGCAGUAGCUCUAAAUAAGUAUAACUGUAAUAUCCAAAGAUAAUAGAAAAUAUAACAGUGCAUUCAAAGCAUAUAUGAUCAUAUAGCAAUACAAUGAAUGAAAUAGAGCCAAACAUGACAUUAUAAGAGGAGCACAUACACAAAUAUAUCCAUGAGAUAUUUAACAGUAUUCAAAACUUGUAUAUUGGUGUUGCAUGCAUAGGUGUGGUCCUCUUUAGAAAUGAAAUGGGUUUUGGGAUGUAUCUCGGUGGUAGAGAACAUGCUUGCCAUAAGCAAGACCCUACAUUCAAUCGGCAGCACCAAAAAUAAAUAAGUAAUUUUAAAAAAUUAAAGCAAAGUAGUAAUUAUAAAAAUCAUGGCUAUGAUUCCCUCAAGAGGAAAAGAGGAGGAGUUGUUGAGGGCUUAUAGAAUAGGCAUUCAAUAUAAUGGGGAACCUAAAAUCUAUCAAGAUAAAUACUACUUGAUGCAAUAUAUAUGAAAUACAAAUUAAUGCAAAAAUACAUGAUAAGAUAUCCCAUUUUUAAAGUCAGGUCAUUAGGGGGCUGGCAGUGUUCUUUCUUUUGACCUGUGUGGUAAGUUGUUCUCAUUUGCCUUCAUUGGACUGUAUGUCUACAUUCACUGCACUUUUCUGACUUGUAUUUCAAAAAAAUUGAAAAAGGUAGUGAAAAUUGACACAGGCUCUUCAUUUCUUGUAAUACUUCUUUAGUUCCAUGUUUUUGUCAUGUAAUGAAGAUUUCUCCUAGUUUCUUUUAAAUUCUGACAUUUAAAAUUAUAACAACAAUGAUAUUGCCAAAUAAAAUCUCCAGUGAUUUUUGACAGUAGGUUUAGAUUGCUCAUCAGAAAGUUGGCUCUGUGCUUGCCUCUAUUUUGGCAUCCAAAUAUUCAAUUUAACUCCAGGUAUCAACCUGCUUUAUGGCUCUCUUUCUUACCUGAAUAAUUAACCUGUGAAUGGUUGGUUCACAUUAGAACAAUUAGUUAGUUGAUUGCUGUAGUGUAAAUGAGGUUGUUAACAUGCCAUGUUUUUUUCAUGUUUUGGAGGGUUUUUCCACACCUUGCCUCUAUUCAACCGUGUAAUCACAGAGAUCAGUCCUGUUUUCAUACAAAGUAUUAAUCUAGUUCAGUAUUUCACAAAUUGGGUUUCAUGUUGAGAUUUAUAUAUGAACUAUAAAGUUAUUUACAGAGAAUAAGAUUAAUGUUGGCCUGUAUUGACACAAGAACUUUUUUGGAUGCUUUUUAUAGUGUAGGGUGCCUAAUUGACUAAAAAGCAGGUCAUUACACUGUUACAAAGAGAAUAUAGCUUUAUAAAAAUAAAGUCUGACAAUAAACUGAUGAAUACUGUUUUACCUUUGAUAAUAAAUAUUUCUUCAGAUUGAAAAUUUUAAAUUUGGGUAAGUAGAAGCCUGAGAAGGGGGGUUGGUAAAAAACUGGGGAAGUCACCCAGAAUCUGACAGGCAUGUUUUGUUUAUUUAAUUGGCCUGUUUUUUGUUUAUGUUUCCUUGAUUUGAUUUGAACAAAAGAUUUCAGUUUGAUAGCUCUGUCUAUAGUAAGAAAUACUUACUAAGUCCUACACUGUGCCAGGCAAUUGAAAAAAUUGAUAUAAUAUGGUAACCGAAUAGAUAAGAUCUUUGCCUCCUAGAAUUUAUAGAAUAGUUCUUUAAGGAUGUUCUCUCAUAUUUAAAAGUUUAGUAAACAAAAUUUUAAAUAUCAAAGCAAAUGGCUCUUUUCUUUCACAGUAACCACUCUUCAUAGAUUGCUAACCUUCCAGACCACUUUAUAAUAUAUAAACACAUUUAGCUUACCAAAAUGGAAUCUUUCAUAAGAAGAUAUUUUUGAAGCUUCCCAUCUUAUUACAUAUAGAUCUAUCCUAUUGUUUUUUAAGCCUACGUAGUAUUAACCUCUAUGAAUAUAACAGAACCUAUUUGCUACUCAUUGAUAACCAUUAAAUUGGAUUUAUACAUGGUGCUGCAAUGAGCAUGUUUUACUUCUAAGCAUUUAGCUCCAUCAGUAUGUCUUUUUAAGUACAUGAAACAAUUUUUUUCUCACAAAGAACUAUGAGGACUCUAAUUUUGGCAUGAAUUACAAAAACUAAUUCUACACAUGGAGACUUUGGGGCCAAGGUUACACAGUAAAAUGUCAUUACCUGUCUGUUGUCUGUACUUGGAGAGGAAUCCCAUAGGAACACUGAAGGGGUGGAGAUGAGUUCCCUCCCCUAUCAUACGCAUUUCUUCUUCUUUUUCCCCCCCAGGCAGGUAGUAUCAACCACUCUGCUCCAUCUUGGAUUUACAAGAAAUUUCAUUACUGAAAGUUACUAAAUCUUAGUUUAGUAAAGGGAAGAAAUGAAACACAAGGAAACCAAAUACAAACUAAAUUUACAAUAAUUUCUUUUUCCUUUUCACCAGCUUACUUUGUUGGUCAAAUCUGCAAGCAUUGUUAACUUCAGCUCUUGUCUUAUGAGGAAAUGAUAGCAUUUGGUUAUGAUGCCAAAUUAGCCAAAUUAUAGUCUAGAUAAACUGGUUUUUAAAAACAUUUUCAUUUUAUGUUCAAAAUAG
rnacentral:lncRNA from 1 species